AUUUUUAUAGUUUAAGUAAAACAUUACAUUUUCACUGUAAAAAUAGAAUUAUUUUCUUUAAAAUA
rnacentral:tRNA from 1 species